rnacentral:lncRNA from 1 species
UCCCACGACCUAGUGACUUAGUGCUUGAUGCUCUCUUUCGACUAGCAUCAUUAGGUUUAGGUACCAGUGGCUGGAAUAAUAGUGAAACUGGUGCUGAGGAUCUCAGAUGGAAUUAGGACCGGUUACUACUCCUUAAUCUUAGCGUAGAGUUAUUGGUUCUAGUUCUUUGAUCCAUCUUACGCUCUGUCCCCUCAUUUUGCAGAGUAUUAGCCUACAUAG